rnacentral:rRNA from 1 species
AGCGAACGCUGGCGGCAGGCCUAACACAUGCAAGUCGAACGAAGUCUUCGGACUUAGUGGCGGACGGGUGAGUAACACGUGGGAACGUACCUUUUGGUUCGGAACAACUCAGGGAAACUUGAGCUAAUACCGGAUGAGCCCUUAGGGGGAAAGAUUUAUCGCCGAAAGAGCGGCCCGCGUUAGAUUAGCUAGUUGGUGAGGUAAAGGCUCACUAAGGCUACGAUCUAUAGCUGGUCUGAGAGGAUGAUCAGCCACACUGGGACUGAGACACGGCCCAGACUCCUACGGGAGGCAGCAGUGGGGAAUCUUGCGCAAUGGGCGAAAGCCUGACGCAGCCAUGCCGCGUGAAUGAUGAAGGUCUUAGGAUUGUAAAAUUCUUUUACCAGGGACGAUAAUGACGGUACCUGGAGAAUAAGCCCCGGCUAACUCCGUGCCAGCCGCCGCCGUAACAC